rnacentral:lncRNA from 1 species
GUCUUGUUUGUUGCCCAGGCUGGUCUGGAACUCCUGGCCUCAAGCAAUCCUUCUGCCUCUGCCUCCCAAAGCAUGGGGACGACAGGCGUGAGCCACUGCACCCAGCCAGGAACUUGUUUAUAGCAAUUGAUUUUGUUUUGUAAAGCUAAAAAAUAGAUCUCUGAUUUAGACUUUUCCAAAACUCAAGACAGAACAUCUCUCCUAAGAACAUUAAACAGCAGCGAGAGGAACUGACUGUGCUAUGGUCUAUGAAACCGGUCCCCCAGGCAGAGAAACAAGUAGAGUUUCCCACCCCAUCCCUCCCAGCUUUCCUAAAAUAAUUAUCUCUACUAAGGAGUCUGCGCAACAAAAAUAAGAGAUCAUCUCAAAAAGGCUACAUGUCUAAG